ensembl:misc_RNA Metazoa_SRP Metazoan signal recognition particle RNA
GCUGGGUGUGGUGGUGUAUGCCUGUGGUCCCAGCUACUUAGGAGGCUGAGGCAGGAGGAUUGCUUGGGCCCAGGAAGUUGAGGCUGCAGUGAGCCAUGAUCACACCACUGCACUCCAGCCUGGGCGACAGAGUGAGACCUUGUCUCAA